rnacentral:rRNA from 1 species
AUUGAACGCUGGCGGCAGGCCUAACACAUGCAAGUCGAGCGGAUGAAGGGAGCUUGCUCCUGGAUUCAGCGGCGGACGGGUGAGUAAUGCCUAGGAAUCUGCCUGGUAGUGGGGGAUAACGUCCGGAAACGGGCGCUAAUACCGCAUACGUCCUGAGGGAGAAAGUGGGGGAUCUUCGGACCUCACGCUAUCAGGUGAGCCUAGGUGGGAUUAGCGAGUUGGUGGGGUAAAGGCCUACCAAGGCGACGAUCCGUAACUGGUCUGAGAGGAUGAUCAGUCACACUGGAACUGAGACACGGUCCAGACUCCUACGGGAGGCAGCAGUGGGGAAUAUUGGACAAUGAGCGAAAGCCUGAUCCAGCCAUGCCGCGUGUGUGAAGAAGGUCUUCGGAUUGUAAAGCACUUUAAGUUGGGAGGAAGGGCAGUAAGUUAAUACCUUGCUGUUUUGACGUUACCAACAGAAUAAGCACCGGCUAACUUCGUG